GUUUAAACGGCGGAACCGCGGACGUGGCGCUCAAUGACCACGGGCAGCUGCUUGGCAGCCGGCGCUGCUGGAACCGCGACGACGCAUUUCGAGGUUUCUCGGAGAGGUUGUGGAGUCUCAUCCAUGGAGAUACUCCAAUCCCAAGAGGACAGUCCUGAGCAGCCUACUGGAGGCCAUGACCAUCAUCUGCAGAGGUGCAGUGACUCUGCAAUUCUGUGAAACAUCCAUGGAGUAAAGUGAUGAGUCAGGAGUUUGUGGUCUUGAUUCUGCCUGGUGUUUGGGAGCUGCUUGGACAAACUGCCUGCUUGUAGAAGGAAUGGAGAGAUGGAGCUGCAAUACCUUGUGCCAUGCAAAUUCGGCCACUAGUUCUUGCUCAGGGCUAUGUCAACAGCCACCGUACAGUACUUGUUAUUCUUGUGCCACUUGGUCUUUGUGGUCCAAGGGGUGGUGAAGCUGCAGCACCGAAGAAAAACGUAUGGCUGUCACAGCUCUGACUUGACCUCAUCUCCGUGCUUUGGGGUGGCUGAUGUAACACAAUAGUAACGACACCUUGCUGAAGUCUUAUGAGACCCAUGGAAGUCCUUGGAGAGAAACAAAGAGCAGGACAGAAGGGAUUCCUGUGCACGAUGUUUGUUCCAACAGAGCAAAUGCUGGAAGUGCUCAAAUGUACAUCUAGAAACAAAGGUAUCAUCUUUUGGAAACACCCAUGGGGGUUAUUUGCUUGUGUGCAAAUGUUAACAUUUCCUGAUGUUAAUCCCUCUGCUCCGUACCUGCUAAAGACAGACAUCCUAUUGCAGCUGUGGUUCACCAGGGAAACAGACAUGUUUUGUACUGUUUCCCCUAUAAUCCUUACCACUUUCUUCACAGCAUGGAGUGAUUUCUGUGAAACUGAUGCAAGAGUCAAGAUUUGCCAAACUCAAUCCACCAGUUAGAGGAGAAAAUAACAUUUAAUCUACAGUAUGAAACCUGAUUUCAUGCUACUGACGAGAGUCACUGGAAAUGACUGGAUUAAAA
rnacentral:lncRNA from 1 species